rnacentral:rRNA from 1 species
CAACUUUCGAUGGUAGGGUAGAGGCCUACCGUGGUGGUAACGGGUAACGGGGUGUUAGGGCACGACACCGGAGAGGGAGCCUGAGAAACGGCUACCACAUCCAAGGAUGGCAGCAGGCGCGCAAAUUACCCAAUCCCGACACGGGGAGGUAGUGACAAUAAAUAACAAUACGGGGUUCUUUCGGAUCUCGUAAUUGGAAUGAGUACAAUUUAAAUCUCUUAACGAGGAACAAUUGGAGGGCAAGUCUGGUGCCAGCAGCCGCGGUAAUUCCAGCUCCAAUAGCGUAUAUUAAAGUUGUUGCAGUUAAAAAGCUCGUAGUUGAAUUUCGGGGUUAGUAGGUUGGUCAUGCCUCUGGUAUGUACUGGUCUCACUGAUUCCUCCUUCCUGAUGAACCGUAAUGCCAUUAAUUUGGUGUUGCGGGGAAUUUGGACUGUUACUUUGAAAAAAUUAGAGUGUUUAAAGCAAGCUAACGCUUGAAUACAUUAGCAUGGAAUAAUGAAAUAGGACGUUCGAUCCUAUUUUGUUGGUUUCUAGGAUUGACGUAAUGAUUAAUAGGGAUAGUUGGGGGCAUUAGUAUUCAAUUGUCAGAGGUGAAAUUCUUGGAUCUAUUGAAGACUAACUACUGCGAAAGCAUUUGCCAAGGAUGUUUUCAUUAAUCAAGAACGAAAGUUAGGGGAUCGAAGACGAUCAGAUACCGUCGUAGUCUUAACCAUAAACUAUGCCGACUAGGGAUCGGAUGAUGUUAAUUUUUUAAUGACUCAUUCGGCGCCUUACGGGAAACCAAAGUGUUUGGGUUC